rnacentral:ncRNA from 1 species
UCUUUAUCAAGAGCAGGUGGAGGGACAAGCCCUAUGAAACCCGGCAACCGGUCGAUUUGUCGACACGGUGCUAAUUCUUGCAGCUAUAAAGCUGAGAGAUAAGGA